CAGCAGCCGCGGGAAUACGGAGGGAGCUAGCGUUGUUCGGAAUUACUGGGCGUAAAGGGAGCGUAGGCGGACAUUUAAGUCAGGGGUGAAAUCCCAGAGCUCAACUCUGGAACUGCCUUUGAUACUGGGUGUCUUGAGUGUGAUAGAGGUAUGUGGAACUCCGAGUGUAGAGGUGAAUUCGUAGAUAUUCGGAAGAACACCAGUGGCGAAGGCGACAUACUGGAUCAUUACUGACGCUGAGGCUCGAAAGCGUGGGGAGCAAACAGGAUUAGAUACCCCUGUAGUCCCUGUCCUUAUACAC
rnacentral:rRNA from 1 species